CACGUAGGGUGCGAGCGUUGUCCGGAAUUAUUGGGCGUAAAGAGCUCGUAGGCGGUGUGUCGCGUCGGCCGUGAAAACCUGCAGCUUAACUGUGGGCUUGCGGUCGAUACGGGCAUCACUGGAGUUCGGCAGGGGAGACUGGAAUUCCUGGUGUAGCGGUGAAAUGCGCAGAUAUCAGGAGGGAACACCGGUGGCGAAGGCGGGUCUCUGGGCCGAUACUG
rnacentral:rRNA from 1 species